UAUAUAUGGGAAUAUAAAUAUACAAGGAAAUAACAUAACAUUUUUCAUUUGCAAAAUUAAUAACAUGAUGCAACCAAUUUUUUUCUUAAACUAAAGGAAUGUGGAGAAUUCUAUGUGAAAUGCCAAGACAGACUGUGAUGCUUCAAACAACUACUAGAUAAUGGCCUCUGUAUCUCAGGGUCUGGUCACACUUUCAUAGUGCUGAUUUGUCCAUUUUUCUGCCAUAGAGGAUAAUUCACUAUAUUUGGAUUCAGGAAAAAAAUAAGCUGUGCUUACUUACUAGCUGUGCAACCAGGUAAUUUCCUCAUCAAUCAAAAUAUGCCAUUAUAUAUCAGGCAUGAUAUUAAGAGCUGCAAAUACUACUCUCACACACACACAAAAGGCCAAAAAAUUCCUUUCUUUCAAGGAGUUCCAAGUAUAAUGAGGGAGAAAACAUGCAAACAACUGUAUUAAAUAAAAUAUAUAUAAGACAAAUUGGAGAUGAUCAGCAGAAGGGAAGGCAUCUUUAAAAUAGAGAUAUCACCUACCUCACAGCAUAGUUGUAUUAAAUGAGACAAUAUAUGCAUAACCUCAAAGUGCUAUAUAAAUGCUGACUAUUAUUAUUUUCCUGAUUUCCUGUAUCUAGUCUUUCCAGUCUUCAGAUAAACAAAAGAAAUGGGUUAUUUCUCCUGUCCCACUUGGGGAGUGAGAAGGGAUGUUUUUGAGAGAGCUGCAUCUACUAAAAAUAUCACCAAUCUAUAAGAACUCUAUAUAAACAAGUAAAUGAAGUUGAACAAAGCAAACAAAUAUGGAAGAAUGACCAAUUCAUUCCAAUGUUCUAGUCCAUCACAUCUCCAAUGAGAGAAGAAGAAAUCAAGGCUAUCAGGAUUAAGUGACUUGUUCGGGGUCAUACAACUAAUGGAUUCUACUUAAGAGUGCAAGAAGAGUGAGAAAGAGAAAGUAACACAGAGAACUAUGUAAUGCAACAACUAGCAGAGAUGUUAGAAAUUAUCUUUUCCAAUUCUCUUAUUUUUCAGAAAAGGAUAUUAUUUUUUAAAGAUCAAGAUUCUAUACCUUCCAUUGUAUAUCAUUCUAUCACCCUUCUUCAGUGCUGUUGCUGUUUUGUUUCUCAGAGAUUUUUCAGAUAACACAGAUGCUUAGCAAUUUCUUCCAACAGUUUCUGUAGAACCUGUUUUUUUUGUUUGUUUGUUUUUUUCCUGAUCACUUGGCAGCAUUGAAGAAAGUACUUUUUCCUUACUUAUUUUGGGUUCCAAUUUCCUGUCACUAAUUUCUCUUUUAUUCUUUUCAAUAUGUUUACUGUUUUUGAAGUAUAAAAAACUGAAAUUAAAUGAAAUAAUGAGUAGUGAAAUGAGAACCAAGAGAAUAUUCUAUACAGUAACAACACUAUUGUCCAAAGAAUAAUUGUGUAUGACUAAGUUAUUCUGAGUAUUAUAAAGACUCCAAUUACCUCAAAAGGGCCAAUGAAAGAAAAUGCCAUCCAUCUCCAGAGAAAGAACUGAUAAAUAGAAUUAUAAAAUAAAAACAUACCCGACAGUGAAUUUCUUCACUGACA